AUUCCAUGUUGUGGACAACUCACACAAAGAUGUUUGAAUCUCUCCCAAUAUUCAUGGAGAGUUUCAACAUCUCGUUGUUUAAUGCUACAAAUCUCACUACGGAGGUU